GCGUAUGGCGAAAUAUGUUUUGACAGACUUUAAUUGAAAAUGAUUGCAUUGAUUUGUAGCUAUUGGUACGAGACAAUUAAUUAGGUACAGUUAUUAUUGUCCGCGUCUUUUCGGCUCGAGAAAUCGAUAACAAUAUAUUCCAUAGUGCCGUAUAAAAACAUGACUCAUGACGAGAAUUUUAUAUUAAAUUUUUGAAUAUUUUUGAGUUGCCAAAAAAAAAAAAAAAAAUACUGUCAGAUACUGACAGGAUGUUUUGAAAAUUUUAAAAUGGCUAGAAUGGGAUA